UUACCAUGCAAGUCGAACGAUGAUCUCCCGCUUGCGGGAGUGAUUAGUGGCGAACGGGUGAGUAAUACGUGAGUAACCUGCCCUUGACUCUGGGAUAAGCCUGGGAAACCGGGUCUAAUACUGGAUACGACUCCUCAUCGCAUGGUGGGGGGUGGAAAGGGUUUGACUGGUUUUGGAUGGGCUCACGGCCUAUCAGCUUGUUGGUGGGGUAAUGGCUCACCAAGGCGACGACGGGUAGCCGGCCUGAGAGGGUGACCGGCCACACUGGGACUGAGACACGGCCCAGACUCCUACGGGAGGCAGCAGUGGGGAAUAUUGCACAAUGGGCGCAAGCCUGAUGCAGCGACGCCGCGUGAGGGAUGACGGCCUUCGGGUUGUAAACCUCUUUCAGCAGGGAAGAAGCCACAAGUGACGGUACCUGCAGAAGAAGCGCCGGCUAACUACGUGCCAGCAGCCGCGGUAAUACGUAGGGCGCAAGCGUUGUCCGGAAUUAUUGGGCGUAAAGAGCUCGUAGGCGGUUUGUCGCGUCUGCUGUGAAAGCCCGGGGCUCAACCCCGGGUCUGCAGUGGGUACGGGCAGACUAGAGUGCAGUAGGGGAGACUGGAAUUCCUGGUGUAGCGGUGAAAUGCGCAGAUAUCAGGAGGAACACCGAUGGCGAAGGCAGGUCUCUGGGCUGUUACUGACGCUGAGGAGCGAAAGCAUGGGGAGCGAACAGGAUUAGAUACCCUGGUAGUCCAUGCCGUAAACGUUGGGCACUAGGUGUGGGGGACAUUCCACGUUCUCCGCGCCGUAGCUAACGCAUUAAGUGCCCCGCCUGGGGAGUACGGCCGCAAGGCUAAAACUCAAAGGAAUUGACGGGGGCCCGCACAAGCGGCGGAGCAUGCGGAUUAAUUCGAUGCAACGCGAAGAACCUUACCAAGGCUUGACUUUCACCGGACCGCCUCAGAGAUGAGGUUCCC
rnacentral:rRNA from 1 species